rnacentral:rRNA from 1 species
GACGAACGCUGGCGGCGUGCUUAACACAUGCAAGUCGAACGGUAAGGCCCUUCGGGGUACACGAGUGGCGAACGGGUGAGUAACACGUGGGUGAUCUGCCCUGCACUUCGGGAUAAGCCUGGGAAACUGGGUCUAAUACCGGAUAGGACCCUGGGAUGCAUGUCCUGGGGUGGAAAGCUUUUGCGGUGUGGGAUGGGCCCGCGGCCUAUCAGCUUGUUGGUGGGGUGAUGGCCUACCAAGGCGACGACGGGUAGCCGGCCUGAGAGGGUGACCGGCCACACUGGGACUGAGAUACGGCCCAGACUCCUACGGGAGGCAGCAGUGGAGAAUAUUGCACAAUGGGCGCAAGCCUGAUGCAGCGACGCCGCGUGAGGGAUGACGGCCUUCGGGUUGUAAACCUCUUUCAGCACCGACGAAGCGAGAGUGACGGUAGGUGCAGAAGAAGGACCGGCCAACUACGUGCCAGCAGCCGCAGUAA